rnacentral:rRNA from 1 species
UACGUAGGGUGCGAGCGUUGUCCGGAAUUAUUGGGCGUAAAGGGCUCGUAGGCGGUCUGUUGCGUCGGGAGUGAAAACUCAGGGCUUAACCCUGAGCCUGCUUCCGAUACGGGCAGACUAGAGGUAUGCAGGGGAGAACGGAAUUCCUGGUGUAGCGGUGAAAUGCGCAGAUAUCAGGAGGAACACCAGCGGCGAAGGCGGUGCUCUGGGCCGGAACUGACGCUGAGGAGCGAAAGCGUGGGGAGCGAACAGG